rnacentral:snRNA from 1 species
CACAGACCAAACAUGAUCUU